rnacentral:rRNA from 1 species
UACGGAGGGUGCGAGCGUUAAUCGGAUUUACUGGGCGUAAAGCGCGCGUAGGCGGUUUGGUAAGUCAGAUGUGAAAUCCCCGGGCUCAACCUGGGAAUGGCAUUUGAUACUGUCGAACUCGAGUGUGGUAGAGGGAAGUGGAAUUCCGCAUGUAGCGGUGAAAUGCGUAGAUAUGCGGAGGAACACCAGUGGCGAAAGCGACUUCCUGGACCAACACUGACGCUGAGGCGCGAAAGCGUGGGGAGCAAAUAGG